rnacentral:rRNA from 1 species
UACUAGAGUAGCACUCGCAUAUCAAUAAGCGGAGGAAAAGAAACUAACAAGGAUUCCCCUAGUAACGGCGAGUGAAGCGGGAAGAGCUCAAAUUUGAAAUCUUAAAGGGUUUCCCUUUACGAAUUGUAGUUUAAAGAAGUGUUUUCUGUUGAGGUUUUGGUAAAAGUUCUUUGGAAUAGGACAUCAUAGAGGGUGAGAAUCCCGUAUUUGACAUUUACUUUCAACUUUGUGAUACACUUUCAAAGAGUCGGAUUGUUUGGGAAUGCAGUCCAAAAUGGGUGGUAAAUUUCAUCUAAAGCUAAAUAUUGGCGAGAGACCGAUAGCGAACAAGUACCGUGAGGGAAAGAUGAAAAGAACUUUGAAAAGAGAGUUAAACAGUACGUGAAAUUGUCAAAAGGGAAGCGUUUGACACCAGUGUUGUUUUUCUGAAAAUCAAUUAAAGAACUGUUUAUGCUAAGUUGUUUAGACUUUAUCAGCUAACUGUUUAGUUUUGAGCUUUUCUUUAAUGCACUUUUCAGUUAACAAGUCAACAUCAAUUUCUUUUGCUGUAAAAAAGCUUGAGGAAGGUGGCUUGAGAUUCGUCUUAAGUGUUUAUAGCCUCUUGCCUAUGCAGUCGGAGAGAUUGAGGUCUGCAGCGUAGAUCCUUCGGGGCUAAAUGCAUUUGUGCUAAGUUAUAGCAUUUUAUAGACAACUUGUUGACUAUGAUUUGUCUUGUAGCUUACUCGCUUAUGUUAUUUUACCUACGCUUAGGAUGUUGAACUACUGAGACAUAGA